ACAGAUAUUCUUUCUAGCAGUUUUGGAAUCUAAAAAGUCAAAUUAAGAUAGAAAGAGAAUUGGGAAUGUCGUGGCUUACAUUUAGACUUACUAUACUUGAGAGACCAAAAAACAAACAAACAAACAAAAAACAAAAUAAAAAUGCCUCUAACUCUCAAGGCCCUAGCUUGUACAGGCUUUCCCCUAGUGACCCACUUCCCCUUUCCCCCGGAUGUGAAAAUCUAUUCUUUUUUUGUUUGUUUGUUUGUUUGUUUGUUUUUCGAGACAGGGUCUCUCUGUGUAGCCCUGGCUGUCCUGGAACUCACUCUGUAGACCAGGCUGACCUCGAACUCAGAAAUCUGCCUGCCUCUGCCUCCCGAGAGCUGGGAUUAAAGGGCUCAUCUAAAUCCCUCACUAUUAUGGAGAACUCUGUUCUGAUCUACAAGACCACAGGUUACAUUUCCUAUGUGGGAAGUGUGUCCUGUGUUCAGGGCCAGGAACCUGGUAAGGAACAGGGGGCCACCUACCAUCUCAAGUGGGUGCCUGGGUGCUGGAAACUCCGAACCUACUCAACCUUACCAAGUUUUCUGGCAUGGUCCAUUGUCCCACACACUAGGAGGAUAAUGAGGCAGGUGGGCCUCUGAGUUUGAGGCCAGCCUGGUUGACAGAGUAAGUUCCAGGACAGCCAGCCGUACACAGAGAAACCCUGUCUUGUAAGAAAACAACAAUAGCAAAGGAUUACAAUAGUGACCUUAAUGAUGAAUGAUGUUAUAUAUAUAUAUCCUAGAAUACUGCAAUGUAAGUUUAGCCAGUCAAAUAAACCUGACAUACUCUCUGAAUAUGUUACAACUCUAAGGAAAAAAAACAAGCAAUCUUCCUCAAAUCACCAAUGAAAGUGUUGCUUUGCAGGUGUAUAUUUAUCUUUUUUUUUUUUUUUUACACCAAUAAAGGUAUAGGUGAAUAAUGGUUGAAUUGCAAUGUCUUUGUGCCUUACUGAGUCCUCCUGAUCCGUCUGCAUUCUGGUGAAGCUAAGUAAGAAAAUGUUGCCAGGCGUGGUGGCACAAGCCUUUAAUCCCAGCACUGGGGAGGCAGAGGCAGGUGGAUUUCUGAGUUUGAGGCCAGCCUGGUCUACAAAGUGAGUUCCAGGACAGCCAGGGCUACACAGAGAAACCCUGUCUCAAAAAACCAAAAAAAUAAAAAAAGAAAGAAAGAAAAUGUGAAUGGUGUAGUGAAUGUGAUUCAAAGUCCUAUUGGCUUCCUGUAUUUGUCAAUAACGUUAUAUUGUAGCACAGUCCUGUUCAUUUGUUUGUGUAACGCCAGUGCCUGCUUUGUCCUCAACAGUGGAGUUUAGUAGAGCACAUAUGAUCAACCAAAAUCAAAACAGCCCCAAUUUCAGUAUUUGAUCUUUUACAAGAUUUAGCAAACUAUCCCCAAACUACAUCAAAGACUGUGAGUUCAAUGCUAGCUCUGUGAUAUCCUGCUGUGUGAUUUAAGAUGAGUUAUCUACUUCUCUGUUCCUUAGUUUUUCCAGCUAUAGAU
rnacentral:lncRNA from 1 species